GUGAUGAAAGAUGUCUGGAGUGCUGAUGGUUUGAGAUGAAAUCAGAUGAUGAACAACCUGUGAUGAAGAACAAACAUCAAUGAAAUCGAAAACACACAGGGUUGAACACGGAUUUGAAGAAACCCUAACUGAAGGUUUUGUCCGGUCAUCUCUGUUGUGGUUUCUUUCGGCUUUCUUCCACAUCAACGAUUAGCAAACACAAAGGUUUAAUGGUGGCAUGUUUGUGCUGGUUCAACAAAGCCAGAAAGCGGAGGCGACGGCUAGGGUUUCGAUUAGUGAUCUCGGUCUGAUGUUCUUCACGAUAGAUAUGCACUCGAGAUGGUAAAGAUGGAAUUCCAGCAUUGCUUGGGGUUACAGGGAUCCGCGUUUGAGUUUAGUUCUGGCUGGAAUCCGAGUCGAUCGUUUCACAACUACUAUGGCGUCUUCUAGGGUUUCAUCAAAAGUCCAAAUCAAGAAAAUCCGUUGGGUCCAUCACUAAAGGAAAGAACAGUUGUUGUUGCUGCAGUUUCCUUGUUAGGAACAUUACCAGCUCUAGCAUCAUUCAGCGAUUCCACAAACACCACUAACAAAUGGGUUACCAGAGCACUUGCGCUUCCUACUGCAGGAACUGCCUCUAAGAAAGAGAUUCGAUUGAAACAGAAUCUGCGGUAAAUACUCUGAAGCAUAUAUUUGACAAGCAUAUGCUUGUGAAGCUGGAGAAUUUGCUAAAGUGGCAACCAAGCCAUUGAGGUUACACGUGUCAAACGUUUAUGGCAUUAGAGAAACCGGAAGGGGUCCCAAUUCAGGUGUUGGCAGAUUUUUUUUUAACAUGUUGGUUUUUUAUGUGAAAGAGGUAAUAACUUCUCAUCUCAUAUUUUUUAUAGUAUAGUUUGAACCAUUUACUUUUGGAUCCAUCGAUUCUGGUUACAUUUUCCAAACAGGUCUCAAGUGUAUUUUUAUUAGUAUGCGAAUCUUGUAAAUCGUUUUUACAGAGGUUAGGGUAUUAUUGAGAUGCUAUAUGUGUGUUUUAAUCAUUCUGACUCUUAUUUAUAUAACAAUAGAGGUCCUGGACAAAGUAUUUCAUGUCAACCCAUCCUGAUCUGUAAUGGGUCAAAAUGGACCCAAAUGGGUUGGGCCAACUUACACUCUUUUUUUUAUUAAUUUUUUUCAUUUUAUAAAGUUAUAAAUAUGCAAAGUAUGACUCAAUAGGUCUUUAAAAAUUUGAGUUCAGUUUGUAUGGGUUUUAAUUUGUUCGGCCCUUUUGAUCCAUUUUCUUUUUAGUUAAACCAUUUGACCUGAAAAAUGUAAGACAUUGAAACUGAUAUAUGUGUAAGUUGAUGGUCAUAGGUUGUUGCUUUUAUUAAUGACAGUC